AACAGUGGCAUUCCUACUACAAACCUGUUUGCACAAGGAGCGGUCGGCGUCAGUCGCACCCUGCUCAGAAAUACAGGUGGGAAAUUCGGUGAAACGCGGCGGAGCAACUAUUUCCGAGGGCCGUUCUCGGUCCUGAUUUCCGUGAGGAAAGCGUUUGGAAUUUAAACGCUUGGACGUUGUCAUCAGAAAUACACCAGUCUCUUGGCUGGAUGGGAAGGCAGCGGAUGCUCCGUUUGACUGUGUUUAGCUUCGGCGACACAGGUCUGUUGAGUGCAAUCGUAGGACACUUCUUAUGAGGUGAACCCGAUACCGAUUAUUGCCGGUGUU
rnacentral:RNase_P_RNA from 1 species